GAGUUGAGCACUCAAGACAGUACAGCUUGGUGACAUCAUAAAAGGCACCCAAGUCACUAUCUCUCUUUGGGUUACCUGUGCACCUGCAUACAGAGAUACAUACAGGGCUGGGCAGAGUCAGACUCUGUUGUCAACACUGAGGGAGAUGUGGUGCGGGGAGGAGCCAAGCACAUCCAAGUCAGAGCAGACACUAUGCUGAGGGAACCCUGGAAGCUGAGGGUGUCUUUAAAAGAGAAAUCGCCACAAAUCUGGGCUGCAUUACACACGGUUUUACCUGGAGGCGGAGUCAAGUAAAUAGCCCCUGGAAGCUCAUUCCGGGCAGGACGCUGUGGCCAUAAACCGCAUGCAAUCCUAGAGCGGCUAAGCGAGGCCAUAUGUUGGAGCAGCUCCUCCGUCCGCAGUUUGAAGUCUCACAUUCGUUCCUCCUGCUCCUCCACCCCCAGCUGCGACCACACCAUUGCUCUUAGAACUCAAUAAGAACAGAAUGUAACCAACUCAUGGACACUGGGUGUCCCCAGCCCUCGUCCCUGGCAGACUCUGCAGACAGCCUCACGAAGGCACCAGCAUCCACUGAUGAUGGGAGUCAGAAUUUUUGGCUGGAAAUGGAGUUAACUGAAUGAAGAUGGAGCCAGUUUUUCCUCUUUGAAAAGAGACAGAAUUUGCUAUGGAGGGUAUGUUCCCAGCACUCACUGAAGAGAUGGCAUAGAAAAUAGAGCUGGGAAAUCUUUAACAGGCCUGGUGAUGUCACUAGAUACAAAUAUUUCAGGCAAAGUUGUGUUAAACUAAGACCGUGAACCUUGGUGUGCCUAGCAGAAGAACCAAUGAAAAGAGUAGAAGCCAAAAUUCAAAUCUUGAAAUCAUAUUCUUGAUUUUCAAUAAAUGAUCAUGAACAAAAAAGUUUACCUUCCUUAAAACUUUAUUUCUAUUCUUUAAAAUAGAGUCAG
rnacentral:lncRNA from 1 species